rnacentral:rRNA from 1 species
ACGAACGCUGGCGGCAUGCCUAACACAUGCAAGUCGAACGAGACCUUCGGGUCUAGUGGCGCACGGGUGCGUAACGCGUGGGAAUCUGCCCUUGGGUUCGGAAUAACAGUUGGAAACGACUGCUAAUACCGGAUGAUGACGUAAGUCCAAAGAUUUAUCGCCCAAGGAUGAGCCCGCGUAGGAUUAGCUAGUUGGUGAGGUAAAGGCUCACCAAGGCCACGAUCCUUAGCUGGUCUGAGAGGAUGAUCAGCCACACUGGGACUGAGACACGGCCCAGACUCCUACGGGAGGCAGCAGUGGGGAAUAUUGGACAAUGGGCGAAAGCCUGAUCCAGCAAUGCCGCGUGAGUGAUGAAGGCCUUAGGGUUGUAAAGCUCUUUUACCCGGGAUGAUAAUGACAGUACCGGGAGAAUAAGCUCCGGCUAACUCCGUG